AAUCCCUUAUCGAGGAUCAAUUGGAGGGCAAGUCUGGUGCCAGCAGCCGCGGUAAUUCCGGCUCCAACAGCGUAUAUUAAAGUUGUUGCAGUUAAAAAGCUCGUAGUUGGAUUUGUGGUUUACGCAAGGCUUCCGUCCCUCUUGGGUUUCGGUGUUGCCUGGCGUUGCCAUCCUUGGGUGGAAUCUGUGUGGCAUUAGGUUGUCGUGCAGGGGAUGCCCAUCGUUUACUGUGAAAAAAUUAGAGUGUUCAAAGCAGGCUUAUGCCGUUGAAUAUGUUAGCAUGGAAUAAUAAUAUAGGACCUUGGUACUAUUUUGUUGGUUUGCGCACCGAGGUAAUGAUUAACAGGGUCAACUGGGGAUAUUCGUAUUCCGCUGUCAGAGGUGAAAUUCUUGGAUUUUUGGAAGACGAACUACUGCGAAAGCAUUUAUCAAGGAUGUUUUCAUUAAUCAAGAGCGAAAGUUAGGGGAUCGAAGAUGAUUAGAUACCAUCGUAGUCUUAACCAUAAACUAUGCCGACAAGGGAUUGGUGGAGUAUCGUUACGUCUCCAUCAGCACCUUAUGAGAAAUCAAAAGUCUUUGGGUUCCGGGGGGAGUAUGGUCGCAAGGCUGAAACUUAAAGAAAUUGACGGAAGGGCACCACCAGGAGUGGAGCCUGCGGCUUAAUUUGACCCAACACAGGAAAACUUACCAGGUCCAGACAUAGUGAGGAUUGACAGAUUGAGAGCUCUUUCUUGAUUCUAUGGGUGGUGGUGCAUGGCCGUUUCUUAGUUGGUGGAGUGAUUUGUCUGGUUAAUUCCGUUAACGAACGAGACCCCUGCCUGCUAAAUAGCCCAGUGAGUGAUUUUUCACUGACUGUUGGCUUCUUAGAGGGACGUGCAUUCUAUUAGAUGCAGGAAGAUAGGGGCAAUAACAGGUCUGUGAUGCCCUUAGAUGUCCUGGGCCGCACGCGCGCUACACUGAUGAAUUCAACGAGUUUUUUCCUUGGCCGAGAGGCCUGGGCAAUCUUUUGAACGUUCAUCGUGAUAGGGAUAGAUUAUUGCAAUUAUUAAUCUUGAACGAGGAAUUCCUAGUAAACGCAGAUCAUCAAUCUGCAUUGAUUACGUCCCUGCCCUUUGUACACACCGCCCGUCGCACCUACCGAUUGAAUGGUCCGGUGAAGCCUCGGGAUUGUGGUCAGUUUGCUUUAUUGCGAGUUGAUUGCGAGAACUUGUCUAAACCUUAUCAUUUAGAGGAAGGUGAAGUC
rnacentral:rRNA from 1 species